rnacentral:rRNA from 1 species
GAUGAACGCUGCCAGAAUGCUUAACACAUGCAAGUCAACUUGAAUUUGGGUUUUUAACUUAGGUUUGGGUGGCGGACGGGUGAGUAACGCGUAAAGAACUUGCCUCACAGCUAGGGACAACAUUUGGAAACGAAUGCUAAUACCUAAUAUUAUGAUAAUAGGGCAUCCUAUAAUUAUGAAAGCUAUAAGCGCUGUGAGAGAGCUUUGCGUCCCAUUAGCUAGUUGGAGAGGUAACGGCUCACCAAGGCGAUGAUGGGUAGCCGGCCUGAGAGGGUGAUCGGCCACAAGGGGACUGAGACACGGCCCUUACUCCUACGGGAGGCAGCAGUGGGGAAUAUUGGACAAUGGACCGAGAGUCUGAUCCAGCAAUUCUGUGUGCACGAUGAAGUUUUUCGGAAUGUAAAGUGCUUUCAGUUGGGAAGAAACAAAUGACGGUACCAACAGAAGAAGUGACGGCUAAAUACGUG